GUAGGUGGCAAGCGUUGUCCGGAAUUAUUGGGCGUAAAGCGCGCGCAGGCGGUCCUUUAAGUCUGAUGUGAAAGCCCACGGCUCAACCGUGGAGGGUCAUUGGAAACUGGAGGACUUGAGUACAGAAGAGGAAAGCGGAAUUCCAAGUGUAGCGGUGAAAUGCGUAGAGAUUUGGGGGAACACCAGUGGCGAAGGCGGCUUUCUGGUCUGUAACUGACGCCGAGGCGCGAAAGCGUGGGGAGCAAACAGGAUUAGAUACCCUGGUAGUCCACGCCGUAAACGAUGAGUGCUAAGUGUUAGGGGGUUUCCCGCCCCCCUUAGUGCUGCAGCUAACGCAUUAAGCACUCCGCCCGGGGAGUACGGCCGCAAGGCUG
rnacentral:rRNA from 1 species